GAUCCUGCCAGACCUGACUGCUAUCGGAUUGAUACUAAGCCAUGCGAGUCAUUGUAGUAAUACAAGGCAUACGGCUCAGUAACGCGUAGUCAACCUAACCUAUGGACGGGAAUAACCUCGGGAAACUGAAUAUAAUGCCCGAUAGAACAUUAUGCCUGGAAUGGUUUAUGUUCCAAAUGAUUUAUCGCCGUAGGAUGGGACUGCGGCCUAUCAGUUUGUUGGUGAGGUAAUGGCCCACCAAGACUAUUACAGGUACGGGCUCUGAGAGGAGUAGCCCGGAGAUGGGUACUGAGACACGGACCCAGGCCCUAUGGGGCGCAGCAGGCGAGAAAACUUUGCAAUGUGCGAAAGCACGACAAGGUUAAUCCGAGUGGUUUCUGCUAAAGGAACCUUUUGUUAGUCCUAGAAACACUAACGAAUGAGGGGUGGGCAAGUUCUGGUGUCAGCCGCCGCGGUAAAACCAGCACCUCAAGUGGUCAGGAUGAUUAUUGGGCCUAAAGCAUCCGUAGCCGGCUCUGUAAGUUUUCGGUUAAAUCUGUACGCUCAACGUACAGGCUGCCGGAAAUACUGCAGAACUAGGGAGUGGGAGAGGUAGACGGUACUCGGUAGGAAGUGGUAAAAUGCUUUGAUCUAUCGAUGACCACCUGUGGCGAAGGCGGUCUACCAGAACACGUCCGACGGUGAGGGAUGAAAGCUGGGGGAGCAAACCGGAUUAGAUACCCGGGUAGUCCCAGCUGUAAACUAUGCAAACUCAGUGAUGCAUUGGCUUGUGGCCAAUGCAGUGCUGCAGGGAAGCCGUUAAGUUUGCCGCCUGGGAAGUACGUACGCAAGUAUGAAACUUAAAGGAAUUGGCGGGGGAGCACCACAAGGGGUGAAGCCUGCGGUUCAAUUGGAGUCAACGCCGGG
rnacentral:rRNA from 1 species